GGCCUACCAUGGUGGUAACGGGUAACGGGGUGUUAGGGCACGACACCGGAGAGGGAGCCUGAGAAACGGCUACCACAUCCAAGGAUGGCAGCAGGCGCGCAAAUUACCCAAUCCCGACACGGGGAGGUAGUGACAAUAAAUAACAAUACGGGGUUCUUUCGGAUCUCGUAAUUGGAAUGAGUACAAUUUAAAUCUCUUAACGAGGAACAAUUGGAGGGCAAGUCUGGUGCCAGCAGCCGCGGUAAUUCCAGCUCCAAUAGCGUAUAUUAAAGUUGUUGCAGUUAAAAAGCUCGUAGUUGAAUUUCGGGGUCAGUAGGUUGGUCGUGCCACAGGUAUGAACUGGUCUCACUGAUUCCUCCUUCCUGAUGAACCGUAAUGCCAUUAAUUUGGUGUUGCGGGGAGACUGGACUGUUACUUUGAAAAAAUUAGAGUGUUUAAAGCAGGCUAACGCUUGAAUACAUUAGCAUGGAAUAAUGAAAUAGGACGUUCGGUCUUAUUUUGUUGGUUUCUAAGAUUGACGUAAUGAUUAAUAGGGAUAGUUGGGGGCAUUAGUAUUCAAUUGUCAGAGGUGAAAUUCUUGGAUUUAUUGAAGACUAACUACUGCGAAAGCAUUUGCCAAGGAUGUUUUCAUUAAUCAAGAACGAAAGUUAGGGGAUCGAAGACGAUCAGAUACCGUCGUAGUCUUAACCAUAAACUAUGCCGACUAGGGAUCGGAUGAUGUUAAUUUUUUAAUGACUCAUUCGGCGCCUUACG
rnacentral:rRNA from 1 species